GCUUAUGUUACCCGGUGGUCUUCUGCUUCUAGAGGUAAAUACCUGCCAGAGACCGAUUGCGCACAAGUNGAGUGAUCGAAAGAUGAAAAGCACUUUGAAAAGAGAGUCAAACAGCACGUGAAAUUGUUGAAAGGGAAGCGCUUGCGGCCAGACUUGCACCCAGCGGCUCACCCGCCCCCCGCGGGCGGUGCACUCCGCUGGGCGCAGCCACAUCGGUUCGAGGCCGGGGACAAAGGCGGCGGGGACGUGGCUUCUCGGAGUGGUAUAACCCACCGUCGCCGGCCGCGGACCAGGCCGGGCCCUUAUGGCAAGGAUGCUGGCGUAAUGGCCCCAGGGACCGUUUGGAACACGGACCAGGGAGUCGGCCUAGCAUGCGAGUGUCNGGGUGGAAAAGGCCUACGCGCAUGAAGUGAACGGAGGUGAGAGCUUUGGGGCAUAUUCGACCGAUCCUGAGGCCUNGGAGGGAUUGAAUUGGGACAUGCUUGGCCGGACCCGAAAGAAGGGGGACUUUGCUUGGGAAAGGGGCAAGCCGAGGAAACUUUGGGGGGAGCUUCCAAGGGUUUUGACGUGCAAAUGGAUGGNAAANUUUGACCUGGGGGCNAA
rnacentral:rRNA from 1 species